CGUGGGUUGUAGCAGUGGUAGCUUGUUUGUCUCAUAAGCAAACGGUCAUUGGUUCGAGUCCAAUACCCACAA
rnacentral:tRNA from 1 species